GAAAUGCGAUAAGUAGUGUGAAUUGCAGAAUUCAGUGAAUCAUCGAAUCUUUGAACGCACAUUGCGCCCCUCGGUAUUCCGUGGGGCAUGCCUGUCCGAGCGUCAUUUCAACCAUCAAGCCCCCGGGCUUGUGUUGGGGACCUGCGGCUGCCCGCAGGCCCUGAAAACCAGUGGCGGGCUCGCUGUCACACCGAGCGUAGUAGCAAUCACCUCGCUCAGGGCGUGCUGCGGGUUCCGGCCGUUAAACAGCCUUACAAAACCCAAGGUUGACCUCGGAUCAGGUAGGAAGACCCGCUGAACUUAAGC
rnacentral:misc_RNA from 1 species